GCUUGAGGUUUGUAAAUCAGCGAAUCCGCAGCCUGCAAUUGCAUGGGCGUCAUCCAGCUCUGUAUAGGGGCUUAAUUCGAAGGUACCCUUUUCAGGGAAGGAUAGGACUGGUCAGCCUGCGAGUUUAUAUGCAGCAACUAAGAAGGCAGGGGAGGAAAUUGCUCAUACGUACAACCAUAUUUAUGGUCUUUCCAUUACUAGGUUGCGGUUUUUCACUGUUUAUGGGCCAUGGGGUAGACCGGAUAUGGCUUACUUC
rnacentral:misc_RNA from 1 species